AUGAGUUCAAACAGCUUACCUGCUGUCUUUCAGUGGCUGACAUCAGUUUCUGUUGAGAGCCUGAAGACUGUCUUGCCAAUGGACAUACUCCUGGUGGGAUCUCCAGAUCCACAGUCCACUGAAACCCUCUGGUGGAGGAAGCUGGGAAUACUGAAGAGAUCGUUGUAGUAUGGCCCUGCACAUGGCACCUGGCCAUUUUGUGGGAUGUUUGUAUGUGGGUUAACACCACUGACAGCAGUUUUCAGAUGUGAAGCACUGUAAGGUACUCCAUGACUCUUCCAGAGGCAGUUAAUUUUGCCUCCUACUUUGUAUGGCAGUAGUGAAUGAGCUUUAUCAGCUCUGACUGCUACACCCAUUUUUACAAUUUCAAUGCUCUAUUGAUUUUGUUGGUAUAUACAAAAGAAGAAUAAGAUACUGAAAAGGUUUUAUGAUAACAGAUGCUUUCCUUCUCUCUUUGCAAUAUUAAAGGAAGAUAAUAAUGAACUUUUCCCAGUCUAGGCACUAAUUUAGUUUUGUUAAUUUGCUACAACCAGAACAGAUGGAGCCUCUUUUUGGUUUAAGCCAUGCUCAGCUUUCCUGGUUGGGAAAAAGAGAGAAACCUUAAUAUCUUCUGAAUCCUCGACUCAGUUCUCCUCUGACUGCAAAACAUCAUAAAGUGAUCCAAUUAAAUCGUUAUUUUGGUAUCUGGCAAUUACUAGGUCAUGAAAUCACUUCAUUACCUCUUUUUGUCCUCUUGCCUGACUACAUCUGGUAAAAAUGAAGACAGAGAAGCCAUGAUAGCUGGCUAUAUUUGAGUUUCCUUUCCACACUCCCAUUCAUACUUGGAGACUGGUUUGCACUGACAAUUGAUGCAGGUUUUAAAAUCUUGGGAGACUGAAGAAGCUGGGUUCUAUUAAUCCCUUUUUUUUUUUUUUUCUUUCUCCAGAAUAUAUGCAUAUUUGCUCUAAUCUUUGGAUGAUUAUGUUCUCUGUAGAAUGCAAUUAAAGUGGCAGUGAAUAAUAAUUACAUAAUAGUUUUUAAAUUAUCCCUACUGCUGGCCUCUGUGCUCUCUACUGUUGGAAGCAAACUGACUAGCAUUGUGAAUAAUCUAGUCAGUGCAUAUAGCUGUCUGUAGUUUUCAGA
rnacentral:lncRNA from 1 species